rnacentral:rRNA from 1 species
UCCCCAGACUCCUACGGGAGGCAGCAGUGGGGAAUAUUGCACAAUGGGGGAAACCCUGAUGCAGCGACGCCACGUGGGUGAAGAAGUCUUUCGGUAUGUAAAGCCCUAUCAGCAGGGAAGAAGAAUGACGGUACCUGACUAAGAAGCCCCGGCUAACUACGUGCCAGCAGCCGCGGUAAUACGUAGGGGGCAAGCGUUAUCCGGAUUUACUGGGUGUAAAGGGAGCGUAGGCGGCAGUGCAAGUCAGAAGUGAAAGCCCGGGGCUCAACUCCGGGACUGCUUUUGAAACUGUACAGCUUGAUUGCAGGAGAGGCAAGUGGAAUUCCUAGUGUAGCGGUGAAAUGCGUAGAUAUUAGGAGGAACACCAGUGGCGAAGGCGGCUUGCUGGACUGUAAAUGACGCUGAGGCUCGAAGGCGUGGGGAGCAAACAGGAUUAGAUACCCCUGUAC